CCUACGGGAGGCUGCAGUCGAGAAUCAUUCACAAUGGGGGAAACCCUGAUGGUGCGACGCCGCGUGGGGGAAUGAAGGUCUUCGGAUUGUAAACCCCUGUCAUGUGGGAGCAAAUUCAAAAGAUAGUACCACAAGAGGAAGAGACGGCUAACUCUGUGUCAGCAGCCGCGGUAAUACAGAGGUCUCAAGCGUUGUUCGGAAUCACUGGGCGUAAAGGGUGCGUAGGCUGUUUCGUAAGUCGUGUGUGAAAGGCGCGGGCUCAACCCGCGGACGGCACAUGAUACUGCGAGACUAGAGUAAUGGAGGGGGAACCGGAAUUCUCGGUGUAGCAGUGAAAUGCGUAGAUAUCGAGAGGAACACUCGUGGCGAAGGCGGGUUCCUGGACAUUAACUGACGCUGAGGCACGAAGGCCAGGGGAGCGAAAGGGAUUAGAUACCCUUGUAGUC
rnacentral:rRNA from 1 species